rnacentral:lncRNA from 1 species
CAUGGGAGGAGAGUGAUGGAAGGAGCACUGGGCUCCCUAGCAACACUCUGCUGCAAAUCCUUCAGGAACCCAUCUCUAUCUUCUGUUCAAUCACUAUAUCACUGCAUUUGUUCCGGAACCCGGUCAGGAUCUCUUUCCUAAACCUCUUCUGCUGCUUGGCCAGGAGAGACUGGUAGUACUCAGCAUCAGUGCAUGUUGCAAUGCUUUGCAGCCAGGAUGGGGGACACCUCUUUGAAGAGAGUAUCUUUGCAUUGACACUGUUUGAAAGCAUCAUCAAUAUAAUCUGAAGCCCAAUUUGCAAGCUUAAGUUAUGAUGACAUCUUUCACACUAUUUCUUGUGACGUUUAAGAAAAAUACUUCUGGAGCUUGGGCCAGCAUAACACUGAGGUCCCCAAGAGCAUAUGGAGACAGGUCCACAAUAGGCUCUCGACUUAAGGCAGACAAAAGCAUGACUUUGAUAUGUAAAAAGGCACCACCAGCAAACUGCUACUGUUUAGCAGCAGUUUUCAAACCUUUAUCAUUAUCCAGGUUUUGCUCUGUAGCAAUCUGACUAUGCUAAGGCAGCACAAUUGAACUACACACAGCUUGGUUCAUAUCCUAAGCUUGCCAGAGGCAAUUUUACAGAUCCUCCAAAAAGGGAACCUUCAAAAGCAUCCUUCCAUGUAAAUGUCAAGCAGAUCUGAUUUUCAGAAUAUGGAAGCUUGGGUUCAAUAGAACAAAUCCAAUCAAAAUACUUGAGCAGUAUCUCCAGUGUGCCCUGUGCUUCUUCGUUUGGAGGCCAAGCACAAGUUUAGAUAAAGUAUUCUUUUGAUGUUUAUGUUUCGGCCGUCCUUGAUUUUAAUCUCAGACAAAACAGGCUGAGCUGGUAACACUACUUCCAGAUGGACAGCAGCCAGAGCUGGUAACACCACGGGAGCAACACUUUCAUGACUUUUAUCCAAAU